rnacentral:rRNA from 1 species
GACGAACGCUGGCGGCGUGCUUAACACAUGCAAGUCGAACGGUGAAGCGCCUUCCUUUUUGGUGGGUGUGGAUGAGUGGCGAACGGGUGAGUAACACGUGAGUAACCUGCCCCCUUCUUCUGGAUAACCGCAUGAAAGUGUGGCUAAUACGGGAUAUUCUGGGUCUGUCGCAUGAUGGGUCUGGGAAAGAUAUUGUUUCGGUGGGGGAUGGGCUCGCGGCCUAUCAGCUUGUUGGUGGGGUGAUAGCCUACCAAGGCGGUGACGGGUAGCCGGCCUGAGAGGGUGGACGGUCACGCUGGGACUGAGACACGGCCCAGACUCCUACGGGAGGCAGCAGUGGGGAAUAUUGCACAAUGGGCGCAAGCCUGAUGCAGCGACGCCGCGGGAGGGAUGGAGGCCUUCGGGUUGUGAACCUCUUUCGCCAGUGAAGCAGGCCUGCCUCGUUUGUGGGUGGGUUGACGGUAGCUGGAUAAGAAGCGCCGGCUAACUACGUG